GGAGAAAUGGCAGAGUGGUUGAAUGCGUCGGUUUUGAAAACCGAAAUGGGGUAAAAUCCAUCAAGGGUUCGAAACCCUUUUUCUCCU
rnacentral:tRNA from 1 species